rnacentral:rRNA from 1 species
AUGCGGCGGCUAUGGCGAUGGUACCAGCAGUCCCUGUCCUCCUACCCCGUGCGGACGCAGGUCGUCAGCUCCGGCAUCCUCUGGGCCCUCGGCGACAUCGGCGCCCAGGCCGUCACCCACAAAUCCGCCAGCUCCCACCACCACCACGCCAAGAACCCCGAGGAUAAAGAUAAAGAGUUCAAAAUUGAUUGGAAGAGGGUCGGCAUCACAAGUUCAUUUGGAUUUGCUUUUGUUGGACCUGUGGGACAUUACUGGUACGAAUACUUGGAUCGUAUGGUCCGACGAAGAUACCUGCCUGGUUCGUUCAAAUUUGUAGCCUCAAAGGUUGCAGCGGAUGGUCUCCUCUUUGGACCGCUAGAUCUGGGGCUGUUCUUCUCUUAUGUGGGCCUAGCUUCAGGAAGGAGCCUGGAGCAGGUGAAGGAUGAUGUGAAGAGGGAUAUCAUUCCUGCCCUGGUUUUAGGGGGAGCCAUCUGGCCGGCUGUGCAGAUCGCAAACUUCCGCUUCAUUCCCGUGCGAUAUCAACUGCUUUACGUGAACUUGUUCUGCCUGUUAGACAGCUGUUUCUUGUCCUGGAUCGAGCAACAAGGAGAUGCAGCUUGGAAGCAAUGGUUCACAUCGUUCCAGAAGAAAAUCGAAGACCAGAAGAGCAACGCUUGA